GGCCAGUUAGCUCAGUCGGUUAGAGCUUGGUGCUGAUAACACCAAGGUCGUGGGCUCGAUCCCCGUUUGAUCC
rfam:Apaloderma vittatum contig84135, whole genome shotgun sequence.